GGUGCUGACUAGCUCAACUGGUAGAGCAUGGCAUUAACAUUGCCAGGGUUAAGGGUUGGACUGGUAUUUGGUAUUGUAAGACGCUUUGGAGAAAAGAGUCCACCA